rnacentral:rRNA from 1 species
UGGCGGGAGGGUGAGUAAUGUCUGGGAAACUGCCUGAUGGAGGGGGAUAACUACUGGAAACGGUAGCUAAUACCGCAUAACGUCGCAAGACCAAAGAGGGGGACCUUCGGGCCUCUUGCCAUCGGAUGUGCCCAGAUGGGAUUAGCUAGUAGGUGGGGUAACGGCUCACCUAGGCGACGAUCCCUAGCUGGUCUGAGAGGAUGACCAGCCACACUGGAACUGAGACACGGUCCAG